rnacentral:tRNA from 1 species
GCCCACGUAGCACAACGGCAGUGCACCGCUUUGGUAAGGCGGCGAUCUCGGAUCGUCCCCGAGCGCGGGCUCCG